rfam:Octopus bimaculoides Scaffold21945_contig_158, whole genome shotgun sequence.
AAAAUGCAAAAAAGGAGAGAUGGUUAGUUAACUUGACAAGGACAGAAGAGAUCAAUCGAUCUUUCUAACACAAAUGGGCAUUGUUCUCUACUUUAGAGCAACCUGUUUUUU